ACUUCUCGUGGUAACGCCUUGCUGAAUUAUUCACCCUUGUCUUUUGCGUACUUCUUGUUUCCUUGGUGGGUUCGCCCACCACUAGGACAAACAUAAACCUUUUGUAAUUGCAAUCAGCGUCAGUAACAAAUUAAUAAUUACAACUUUCAACAACGGAUCUCUUGGUUCUGGCAUCGAUGAAGAACGCAGCGAAAUGCGAUAAGUAGUGUGAAUUGCAGAAUUCAGUGAAUCAUCGAAUCUUUGAACGCACAUUGCGCCCUUUGGUAUUCCAAAGGGCAUGCCUGUUCGAGCGUCAUUUGUACCCUCAAGCUUUGCUUGGUGUUGGGCGUCUUGUCUCUAGCUUUGCUGGAGACUCGCCUUAAAGUAAUUGGCAGCCGGCCUACUGGUUUCGGAGCGCAGCACAAGUCGCACUCUCUAUCAGCAAAGGUCUAGCAUCCAUUAAGCCUUUUUUCAACUUUUGACCUCGGAUCAGGUAGGGAUACCCGCUGA
rnacentral:rRNA from 1 species